rnacentral:sRNA from 1 species
GGUGGACGUGGUGGCACAUGUCUGUAAUCCCAGCAACUCAGGAGGCUGAGGCAGGAGGAUCACAAGUGCAAAAUCAGCCUGAGCAAUUUAGUGAGGCCCUAAGCAACUUAGUGUGAGACCCUGUCUCAA